GACGGAGGGUGCUAGCGUUGUUCGGAAUUACUGGGCGUAAAGGGCGCGUAGGCGGCCUGAUCAGUCGGGUGUGAAAGCCCGGGGCUCAACCCCGGGACGGCACCCGAGACGGUCAGGCUGGAGACCGGGAGAGGAGGGUGGAAUAGCCAGUGUAGAGGUGAAAUUCGUAGAUAUUCGCAAGAACACCAGUGGCGAAGGCGGCUCACUGGCCCGAUACUGACGCUGAGGCACGAAAGCGUGGGGAGCAAACAGG
rnacentral:rRNA from 1 species